ensembl:snRNA U6 U6 spliceosomal RNA
GUGCUCACUUCAGCAGCACAUAGAUAAAAUUGGAAAGAUACAGGGGAAAUACAUGGCAGCUGUGCAAGGAUAACACACAGAUUUGUGAAGUAUUCUGUAUUUUU